AUGUGGUGCUGCGCCGGCGAGAGGGAGGAGUACCACGGCCCGCCGCCCGGCAGCCUUGCCAUGCCGCCCCCGCGAGCACCAGCGCAAGCGAGAGGGCCGAACGCGCCGAGGAACGGCGUGGGGCCAGCCAAGGUGCUGCCGAUCGACGUCCCGGCGGUGACACUGGCGGAGCUCAACCGCCUCACGGGCAACUUCGGCGCCCGGUCGCUGGUCGGGGAGGGGUCCUACGGCCGCGUGUACCGCGCCAAGCUAGCCACGGGGGAGACCGUGGCCGUCAAGAUGUUCGACAACGGCGGCUCCGGGCAGUCGGAGGCCGAGUUCUGCGCGCAGCUGUCGGUGGUGUCGAGGCUCAAGUGCGGCCACUUCACGCAGCUGCUGGGCUACUGCCUGGAGCUCAACAACCGGAUCGUGCUCUACGAGUUCGCCACCAACGGCUCGCUCUACGACAUCCUGCACGGGAAGAAGGGCGUGCAGGGCGCCGAGCCCGGGCCGGCGCUCACGUGGGGCCAGCGCGCCCGGGUGGCCCUCGGCGCCGCCAGGGGCCUCGAGUACCUGCACGAGAAGGUGCAGCCGUCCGUGAUCCACCGCGACGUCCGCUCCAGCAACGUGCUCGUGUUCGACGGCCACGAGGGCAAGAUCGCCGACUUCAACCUCACCAACCAGUCCGCCGACACCGCCGCGCGCCUCCACUCCACCAAGGUGCUCGGUACGUUUGGGUACCACGCGCCCGAGUACGCCAUGACGGGCCAGCUCACGCACAAGAGCGACGUCUACAGUUUUGGGGUCGUCCUCCUCGAGCUCCUCACCGGCAGGAAGCCCGUCGACCACACCAUGCCCAAAGGCCAGCAGAGCCUCGUCACCUGGGCCACGCCGAGACUGAGCGAGGACAAGGUCAUGCAGUGCAUCGAUCCCAAGCUCAACAACGACUACCCGCCAAAAGCAGUGGCCAAGCUCGCGGCGGUGGCGGCCUUGUGCGUGCAGUAUGAAGCCGACUUCAGGCCCAACAUGACCAUUGUCGUCAAGGCUCUCCAGCCACUUGUCGGUGCCCGUCCGGGAGGAGGAGAUCACUAG
rnacentral:rRNA from 1 species